rnacentral:rRNA from 1 species
UGAGGAAUUUUGCGCAAUGGGGGCAACCCUGACGCAGCAACGCCGCGUGAGUGAUGAAGGCCUUCGGGUCGUAAAGCUCUGUCGAGUGGGAAGAAACCGUUCAGAUUAAUAACCUGAACCUUGACGGUACCACUAAAGGAAGCACCGGCUAACUCCGUGCCAGCAGCCGCGGUAAUACGGGGGGUGCAAGCGUUAUUCGGAAUUAUUGGGCGUAAAGGGUGCGUAGGCGGUUUUGUAAGUCAGAUGUGAAAUCCCGGGGCUUAACUUCGGAACUGCAUUUGAUACUGCAAGACUUGAGUAUGGGAGAGGAGAGCGGAAUUCCUGGUGUAGAGGUGAAAUUCGUAGAUAUCAGGAGGAACACCGGUGGCGAAGGCGGCUCUCUGGACCAAUACUGACGCUGAGGCACGAAGGCGUGGGGAGCAAACA